rnacentral:pre_miRNA from 1 species
UCUUAUAGAUGAGCAAAGGAGGUGAUUUCUUGAGAUGGAAUCUACUCCUGGUGAAGAUGCUGUGAA